rnacentral:rRNA from 1 species
GACGAACGCUGGCGGCGUGCCUAAUACAUGCAAGUAGAACGCUGAAGGAGGAGCUUGCUUCUCUGGAUGAGUUGCGAACGGGUGAGUAACGCGUAGGUAACCUGCCUGGUAGCGGGGGAUAACUAUUGGAAACGAUAGCUAAUACCGCAUAACAGUAGAUAUCGCAUGAUAUCUACUUGAAAGGUGCAAUUGCAUCACUACCAGAUGGACCUGCGUUGUAUUAGCUAGUUGGUGAGGUAACGGCUCACCAAGGCGACGAUACAUAGCCGACCUGAGAGGGUGAUCGGCCACACUGGGAAUGAGACACGGCCCAGACUCCUACGGGAGGCAGCAGUAGGGAAUCUUCGGCAAUGGACGGAAGUCUGACCGAGCAACGCCGCGUGAGUGAAGAAGGGUUUCGGAUCGUAAAGCUCUGUUGUAAGAGAAGAACGAGUGUGAGAGUGGAAAGUUCACACUGUGACGGUAUCUUACCAGAAAGGGACGGCUAACUACGUG